rnacentral:lncRNA from 1 species
GUUUGGAAAAUUUGUUAACAGUUAAACUGUAAAUAAUAUCUUGUUGCUAUUUUGAUACUGUAUAUAUAUACAAAUGUAGACGUAAAAAUAUAUUGCUCACAUAAUAUGGUGGGUUAGAAUAUCUAAAAUAUUAGAUAAAUAUAGAAAAAGAAAAAUGUGUAUGUUUCUUAACCCCUGCACAAAAAGUAAACAUAGAUCAGUAUUGGCGGAG